UACGUAGGGUGCAAGCGUUAAUCGGAAUUACUGGGCGUAAAGCGUGCGCAGGCGGUUUUGCAAGUCGGGUGUGAAAUCCCUCAGCUCAACUGAGGAAGUGCGCCCGAAACUGCAGAGCUUGAAUAUCGGAGAGGAUGGCGGAAUUCCCCAAGUAGAGGUGAAAUUCGUAGAUAUGGGGAGGAACACCGGUGGCGAAGGCGGCCAUCUGGACGACUAUUGACGCUGAGACGCGAAAGCAUGGGGAGCAAACAGG
rnacentral:rRNA from 1 species